UCUAUACUGCAUGGCCGGGAAGAGCAUUUCCUCCAGGAAUUUACGACCUGAGAUUUCAGAGCCUGGGUGUAAGGGAAAGAGAGAGAAAGUUGGUGCUUGUUAUAGGCAAAGAGGGCCACGUAAUGACAACGUUGCCCAAACAAGCUGUUGCAUGGAAACCAUUAGCCCAUCAUAUGUACUUCACACUGGGCUGUGACUAGUUAUAGUGGAGGUUAUAGUGGAGGUUAUAGUGGAGGCCAGUAGGAAAGAGGACUGGGCUGUGACUAGUUAUAGUGGAGGUUAUAGUGGAGGCCAGUAGGAAAGAGGACUGGGCUGUGACUGGUUAUAGUGGAGGUUAUAGUGGAGGCCAGUAGGAAAGAGGACUGGGCUGUGACUGGUUAUAGUGGAGGUUAUAGUGCAGGUUAUAGUGGAGGCCAGUAGGAAAGAGGACUGGGCUGUGACUGGUUAUAGUGGAGGUUAUAGUGGAGGCCAGUAGGAAGGAGGACUGGGCUGUGACUGGUUAUAGUGGAGGUUAUAGUGGAGGCCAGUAGGAAGGAGGACUGGGCUGUGACUGGUUAUAGUGGAGGUUAUAGUGGAGGCCAGUAGGAAAGAGGACUGGGCUGUGACUAGUUAUAGUGGAGGUUAUAGUGGAGGCCAGUAGGAAAGAGGACUGGGCUGUGACUAGUUAUAGUGGAGGUUAUAGUGGAGGCCAGUAGGAAAGAGGACUGGGCUGUGACUAGUUAUAGUGGAGGUUAUAGUGGAGGCCAGUAGGAAAGAGGACUGGGCUGUGACUAGUUAUAGUGGAGGUUAUAGUGGAGGCCAGUAGGAAAGAGGACUGGGCUGUGACUAGUUAUAGUGGAGGUUAUAGUGGAGGCCAGUAGGAAAGAGGACUGGGCUGUGACUGGUUAUAGUGGAGGUUAUAGUGGAGGCCAGUAGGAAGGAGGACUGGGCUGUGACUGGUUAUAGUGGAGGCCAGUAGGAAAGAGGACUGGGAUGUGACUGGUUAUAGUGGAGGCCAGUAGGAAGGAGGAGGACUGGGCUGUGACUGGUUAUAGUGGAGGCCAGUAGGAAAGAGGACUGGGAUGUGACUGGUUAUAGUGGAGGCCAGUAGGAAGGAGGAGGACUGGGCUGUGACUGGUUAUAGUGGAGGCCAGUAGGAAAGAGGACUGGGCUGUGACUGGUUAUA